CCCACCCAAUCUCCCACCCAAUCUCCCACCCCAUGUUGGUCCACCCUUCUCCAUUAAUGUAUCACAUAAAACAACUUGUAUCUGUAUCUUGACUUUGUUGCAACAGUACAACUGGUUGAAAAAAGAAAAAAAAAAAAAAAAAAGAAAAGUUUCUUUUCUCUUUAAGUGGCAAGAGUCAUAGCUACCUUAUCAAAAUAUGAGAGGAGAGGCUUCCAUGUAGUGUAGAAUUUCUCAGUUGACCCUCUAAGUGAGAAUUUAAUCUUUUCUAGCUUAAGGAAUGACAUUGAAUCAGUCUCCCAAGACUCAUCUGCUGCGGGUUUGGGUGACUUCCAAUUUUGUAAUCAUGAUAUCAACUGUGUCAUUUU